rnacentral:rRNA from 1 species
UACGUAGGGCGCAAGCGUUGUCCGGAAUUAUUGGGCGUAAAGAGCUCGUAGGCGGCUUGUCACGUCGGUUGUGAAAGCCCGGGGCUUAACCCCGGGUCUGCAGUCGAUACGGGCAGGCUAGAGUGUGGUAGGGGAGAUCGGAAUUCCUGGUGUAGCGGUGAAAUGCGCAGAUAUCAGGAGGAACACCGGUGGCGAAGGCGGGUCUCUGGGCCGUAACUGACGCUGAGGAGCGAAAGCGUGGGGAGCGAACAGG